rnacentral:tRNA from 1 species
GCCGGAGUGGUGGAACGGCAGACACGGAGCACUCAAAAUGCUUUGCUCGCAAGGGCGUGCGGGUUCAAAUCCCGCCUCCGGCACCA